UACGUAGGGUGCGAGCGUUGUCCGGAAUUAUUGGGCGUAAAGAGCUUGUAGGCGGUUUGUCGCGUCUGCUGUGAAAUCUCAAGGCUCAACCUUGAGCUUGCAGUGGGUACGGGCAGACUAGAGUGUGGUAGGGGAGACUGGAAUUCCUGGUGUAGCGGUGAAAUGCGCAGAUAUCAGGAGGAACACCAGUGGCGAAGGCGGCUUUCUGGACGAUAACUGACGCUGAGACGCGAAAGCGUGGGGAGCGAACAGG
rnacentral:rRNA from 1 species